UGACCCCUGAGUGACCCCUGAGUGACCCCUGAGUGACCCCUGAGUGACCUCAGUGACCCCUGAUGACCCUGAGUGACCCUGAGUGACCCCUGAGUGACCCCUGAGUGACCCCUGAGUGACCCUGAGUGACCCCAAUGACCCCUGAGUGACCCCUGAGUGACCCCUGAGUGACCCCUGAGUGACCCCUGAGUGACCUCAGUGACCCCUGAGUGACCCCAUAAUGACCCCAAUGACCCCUGAGUGAUUCUGAGUGACCCCAAUCACCCCUGAGUGACCCCUUAGUGACCCCUGAGUGACCCCUGAGUGACCCCAAUGACCCCUGAGUGACACCAAUGAC